AUGCUAGAACACUACAUAUGGAGCCAACUUGCAAAUAACUACAAAGUCCAGAGGCUGAGGCUGAGGGACAGAGUGGACCUCCAGAAUCCGUGCACUGAGCUAAGGAAGGAAGAGAGUGCUUACACCAAGUCUCUCAGCUAUGACACAAGGAGAGGCACUGUUCACAAGCCCACUCUUCUGGGGCUCCCCUUAGGAAUGGAAGCCUUCCUCUUAUGAACCCCAAUGGGAGCCUCCUCUGACCUCUCCGUACAGUUACUAUUCACCAGAUAUCCAUGUGCUACGUGGACAAGAGACAAGCAAGGGCAAAUUUCACUUCUGCCUCUUACCAGUUAGUUACAUAGCUCUGAACAAGUCAGAAGAUAACCGAAGAACUGACCAGGGGCUCCAUCAGGACUAACAGGGCUGCUAUGUGCAGGCGUGGCCACAGGUCCGCAGUUACUUUAAUUGUGGGUAUUAUUUAUCCUGUUUGUUCCAAAUUCAGGAGCAAUGCUCCAAAUGACCUCAGGGGCUCUCCUGGAUGCAUCUAGGGAUAAGCAUGUUGGGGGAAUUGGUCAUCCCUGCAGCUCUGCCUGGGCUCAGGCCAGAGCCAAGGUAGUGAGGGUGGGCAUGCAAGUGGGAGUGGGGGCUGCCAUGGGCCAGUAGCUGUGGGAGUGGGGACCUGGCUCCAUGUCCCCCCACGUGGGAGGUUGCCUGGAUCUCAGGCAGUCCUGCCUUUCUGGUUAGGGCUUCCCAACUUUUGCGGCUGUCCUCAGGGGCAAGCUAUUUUAGGUAGCAGUCAAAAUAAAACUGAGAUUAACCCAGAAUUCUUGGCA
rnacentral:lncRNA from 1 species